UACGUAGGGGGCAAGCGUUAUCCGGAUUUACUGGGUGUAAAGGGAGCGUAGGCGGUGCUGCAAGUCAGAAGUGAAAGCCCGGGGCUCAACUCCGGGACUGCUUUUGAAACUGUUGAACUAGAUUGCAGGAGAGGUAAGUGGAAUUCCUAGUGUAGCGGUGAAAUGCGUAGAUAUUAGGAGGAACACCAGUGGCGAAGGCGGCUUACUGGACUGUAAAUGACGCUGAGGCUCGAAAGCGUGGGGAGCAAACAGG
rnacentral:rRNA from 1 species